rnacentral:rRNA from 1 species
GACGAACGCUGGCGGCGUGCUUAACACAUGCAAGUCGAACGGAAAGGCCCUGCUUUUGUGGGGUGCUCGAGUGGCGAACGGGUGAGUAACACGUGAGUAACCUGCCCUUGACUUUGGGAUAACUUCAGGAAACUGGGGCUAAUACCGGAUAGGAGCUCCUGCUGCAUGGUGGGGGUUGGAAAGUUCCGGCGGUUGGGGAUGGACUCGCGGCUUAUCAGCUUGUUGGUGGGGUAGUGGCUUACCAAGGCUUUGACGGGUAGCCGGCCUGAGAGGGUGACCGGCCACAUUGGGACUGAGAUACGGCCCAGACUCCUACGGGAGGCAGCAGUGGGGAAUAUUGCACAAUGGGCGGAAGCCUGAUGCAGCAACGCCGCGUGCGGGAUGAAGGCCUUCGGGUUGUAAACCGCUUUCGCCUGUGACGAAGCGUGAGUGACGGUAAUGGGUAAAGAAGCACCGGCUAACUACGUG